UACGGGGGGGGCAAGCGUUGUUCGGAAUUACUGGGCGUAAAGGCUCGUAGGCGGCCAACUAAGUCAGACGUGAAAUCCCUCGGCUUAACCGGGGAACUGCAUCUGAUACUGGAUGGCUUGAGUUCGGGAGAGGAUGCGGAAUUCCAGGUGUAGCGGUGAAAUGCGUAGAUAUCUGGAGGAACACCGGUGGCGAAGGCGGCAUCCUGGACCGACACUGACGCUGAGGAGCGAAAGCCAGGGGAGCAAACGGG
rnacentral:rRNA from 1 species